GACGAACGCUGGCGGCGUGCUUAACACAUGCAAGUCGAACGGAAAGGCCCUGCUUUUGUGGGGUGCUCGAGUGGCGAACGGGUGAGUAACACGUGAGUAACCUGCCCUGGGCUUGGGGAUAACUUCAGGAAACUGGGGCUAAUACCGGAUAGGAGCUCCUGCUGCAGGGUGGGGGUUGGAAAGUUUCGGCGGUUGGGGAUGGACGCGCGGCUUAUCAGCUUGUGGGUGGGGUAGUGGCUUACCCAGGCUUUGACGGGUAGCCGGCCUGAGAGGGUGACCGGCGACAUUGGGCCUGCGAUACGGCGCAGUGUCCUACGGGAGGCAACAGUGGGGAAUAUUGCACAAUGAGCGGAAGCCUGAUGCAGCGGCGCCGCGUGCGGGAUGACGGCCUUCGGGUUGUAAACCGCUUUCGCCUGUGACGAGGCGUGAGUGACGGUAAUGGGUAAAGAAGCACCGGCUAACUACGUG
rnacentral:rRNA from 1 species